rnacentral:misc_RNA from 1 species
UGCUUCGGGCAGCGACGGCGCGCCUCUCCCGCGAGUCAUCAGUGUCGGCUCGAGGGCCGCGCGGCCUCGGCCUAGACCCGGUUGGUUUCUUGUGCUGCGUACCCGCGCGAAGGGCAUCCUUCUCUCGUCCCAACCGUCCCUGUGUUCGUCCGCUGCUCCCCCUUCGGGGCGGGGCACGCGACGGAACUCGCAGCCCGGUCCGCUACCCGCGUCGCCUCCGGCUGUCGCGGUGAGCGGGCGCUGGCAGAGCUCUCGGAUGCGGAAAGCACCGGGGGGCGCCGACGACGAGCGUCCCGAGUCCCCGACCCAGCGUACGACCGUCGCUCCCGUCGCGGCCCGACCGCGCGGGAAGGACGUCGGCGAGGAAUGCUACCUGGUUGAUCCUGCCAGU